rnacentral:lncRNA from 1 species
CUCCGUGUCACUCCUACACUGUAUGUCCAAUCAGCCAAUCAUCAAGCACGAUAAUAUGGGGAUAUCCUCACACUAGAGCUCCCUCUACCACAGGACAACUAUUUCUGAGUUGCUUCAACACCUGGAGCUCCAACCAAUUCCGGCCACUCGUAGCCCCCUAGGACAUGUGGAACAUUUACUGGAGCCCAACCUAGCUAUCUGCCCCCAAACCAACCCAACACUUGUUCCUUCAUCCCGCCUGCCUGUCACACCUAACCAGUCGGUAAAUAUUUGACACAGCAUGAUCUGAUGUCUGCCAUCAAAAUGGGGCCAUCGAGGGUCAGCUCACAGUAUUGGCCCAUUCACAAACAAGGAAAUAAAUAUUGUUUUGUCAAUAAAGGAAUUUC